rnacentral:rRNA from 1 species
UACGUAGGUGGCGAGCGUUAUCCGGAUUUAUUGGGUUUAAAGGGUGCGUAGGCGGGAUGCCAAGUCAGCGGUAAAAAUGCGGUGCUCAACGCCGUCGAGCCGUUAAAACUGGCGUUCUUGAGUGGGCGAGAAGUAUGCGGAAUGCGUGGUGUAGCGGUGAAAUGCAUAGAUAUCACGCAGAACUCCGAUUGCGAAGGCAGCAUACCGGCGCCCUACUGACGCUGAGGCACGAAAGCGUGGGUAUCGAACAGG